UGGGGAAUUUUGCGCAAUGGGCGAAAGCCUGACGCAGCAACGCCGCGUGGAGGAUGAAGGUGCUCUGCAUUGUAAACUCCUGUCGGCCGGGAAGAAUCGGCGGGGUGCUAAUCAGCCCCGUUUUGACUGUACCGGCAAAGGAAGCCCCGGCUAACUCCGUGCCAGCAGCCGCGGGAAUACGGAGGGGGCAAGCGUUACUCGGAAUUAUUGGGCGUAAAGGGCGCGUAGGCGGUCUCGUGCGUCAGAGGUGAAAUCCCCGGGCUUAACCCGGGAACUGCCCCUGAUACGGCGGGACUUGAGUCCGGGAGAGGGGAGCAGAAUUCCCAGUGUAGCGGUGAAAUGCGUAGAUAUUGGGAGGAAUACCAGUGGCGAAGGCGGCUCCCUGGACCGGUACUGACGCUGAGGCGCGAAAGCGUGGGUAGCAAACAGG
rnacentral:rRNA from 1 species